CACGUAGGGGGCGAGCGUUGUCCGGAUUUAUUGGGCGUAAAGAGCUCGUAGGCGGUUUCGUAAGUCGGAUGUGAAAACUCCAGCUCAACUUGGAGACGCCAUUCGAUACUGCGAUGACUUGAGUCCGGUAGGGGAGUGUGGAAUUCCUGGUGUAGCGGUGAAAUGCGCAGAUAUCAGGAGGAACACCCGUAGCGAAGGCGGCACUCUGGGCCGAUACUGACACUGAGGAGCGAAAAGCGUGGGGGAGCGAACAGG
rnacentral:rRNA from 1 species